rnacentral:rRNA from 1 species
UGAGGAAUAUUGGUCAAUGGGCGCUAGCCUGAACCAGCCAUGCCGCGUGCAGGAAGACGGCCCUACGGGUUGUAAACUGCUUUUCUGCGGGAAGAAUUCCCUUUAUUCGUUAGGGGGUUGCCGGUACCGCAGGAAUAAGCAUCGGCUAACUCCGUGCCAGCAGCCGCGGUAAUACGGAGGAUGCGAGCGUUAUCCGGAUUCAUUGGGUUUAAAGGGUGCGCAGGCGGUGGAGCAAGUCAGUGGUGAAAGCCCAAGGCUCAACCUUGGGAUUGCCAUUGAAACUGUUUCACUUGAGUGUAGUCGAGGACGGCGGAAUGAGUUGUGUAGCGGUGAAAUGCAUAGAUAUAACUCAGAACACCGAUUGCGAAGGCAGCUGUCUAGACUACAACUGACGCUGAGGCACGAAAGCGUGGGGAGCGAACA